GACAGAGGGUGCAAACGUUGUUCGGAAUUACUGGGCGUAAAGCGCGUGUAGGCAGCUCGGAAAGUCGGGUGUGAAAGCCCUGGGCUUAACCUAGGAAGUGCACUCGAAACUUCCGAGCUUGAGUUCUGGAGAGGAAGGCGGAAUUCUCGGUGUAGAGGUGAAAUUCGUAGAUAUCGAGAGGAACACCGGUGGCGAAGGCGGCCUUCUGGACAGUGACUGACGCUGAGACGCGAAAGCGUGGGGAGCAAACAGGG
rnacentral:rRNA from 1 species